UCGAACACGGCCAAAGUGUAACGAAAGUCUAGUGACAUUUGUAAAACGAACAGCGCCAUCCGACGUCACGUCCGCUAAAACGAACGCGCAAGUGUACACUCCCCACGUAAGUAUAGAAAGUGUAGCUAGCACGAACAAACCUAUCUCUAUCAAAAUUGUGUUGAUACACUAAUCGUAGACGUGCGGAUUGAUAGAAAAACGAGUUAUCGAAAAAUGUUUCCAAAAAUUUUCAAUUAUUGAAGAUUAUCCCCUACCAAGAGGGGUUUACCUUUGUCAGGCCACAAAACAAAAUAGAAGAAAGGGGAAAAAUAUAACCCACAUUUGCGAUUACAAUAUUGAUAGCUUUAUUGUAUGCCACAAUAAAUUCCUAUGUGCAACUGGCUGAUUUGAAGAUGCACGAAAUUAUAAUUCAUGACAAACAUGAUAUAUCUACAUUAUGAAGUUAACUUAUCAGUCCAUAAUGAUAGAAUGUGCAGUGGAGUGAAGGUGCGUAUUAAAGUUACAUACAACAA
rnacentral:lncRNA from 1 species